UGCAUGAUAUAAGAGGUUGCAGAUGCAUAUUCUUGAUCCGUUAUGAUCAUGAUAAUAAAGAGGAAAGAGUAUGUCUAAAGAGAUUGUGUUGCCGGCCCGACAAACUAGCGCAACCAGAGAUAAAUUAGCUGGGGAAAGUGGUCACUACUGACACUUAUCGGUUUCUGAAGGAUUCUUAGCACAAAUUUUGUUGCGUAGACCUUGGUUGCUGUUGUCAUUAUCGAGAAAAUUUUUGCUGCCUAGUGAUCUACGCCCGAUUCUUAUUAAUAUUGCAAUUUGAUAUCAAAUGUAAAUCUAUUGAGUAUACAAUCUGUGAUGAGAAUCGUUCUUCGAAAAAUCAAUAAGUAAAUAGUGUGGAA